UACAAGCACAUGUUAAUGGGCAUGACAGUGGAGAAUGGAAUGUGUUGCCUAAGGAUACUUCUGCCCUUCCUCUUACAUAAAGAGCCAGGGGAUCCUUACUGUUCAUACAGUCCAGAGGCUCUCAG